rnacentral:snoRNA from 1 species
CUGGUGGUAUCCAGGGAUCACCAGUUGCAGGCCAGAGUACUAUGCAGAGACUUUGACGGCUCAGGCCAGCACAAUACCUGUAGCUGGCGCUUACUGUUCAUAUAAUG